AUUGAACGCUGGCGGAAUGCUUUACACAUGCAAGUCGAACGGCAGCACGGGGCAACCUGGUGGCGAGUGGCGAACGGGUGAGUAAUACAUCGGAACGUGCCCAAUCGUGGGGGAUAACGUAGCGAAAGUUACGCUAAUACCGCAUACGAUCUACGGAUGAAAGCGGGGGAUCGCAAGACCUCGCGCGAGUGGAGCGGCCGAUGUCAGAUUAGGUAGUUGGUGGGGUAAAGGCUCACCAAGCCAACGAUCUGUAGCUGGUCUGAGAGGACGACCAGCCACACUGGAACUGAGACACGGUCCAGACUCCUACGGGAGGCAGCAGUGGGGAAUUUUGGACAAUGGGCGCAAGCCUGAUCCAGCAAUGCCGCGUGCAGGAUGAAGGCCUUCGGGUUGUAAACUGCUUUUGUACGGAACGAAACGGUGAGCUCUAAUAAAGCUUGCUAAUGACGGUACCGUAAGAAUAAGCACCGGCUAACUACGUG
rnacentral:rRNA from 1 species